AUGACCACUGCUCCCCAACCUGAGCUGCACGGAGCUGGGCGUCUGGUCGGAGAAGCGGGGUCUCUACCCCAGUGGGUGGGCUCCUGCACCCGGCUGCUCCUCAGCAGGCAGUGUUGCAGGUUCAGCCGUGCCCCACCAUUCCCGGCUACGGCGGUGCCCCACCAUUCCCGGCUACGGCGGUGCCCCACCAUUCCUGGCUACGGCGGCACCACAGUCUGCCCACUCACCUGCUCAGGUGCACCUGUCGCGCCCCACCCUCACCUGUCUCCCUUCCUCUCAAGGAGCGAAGACGCCCCUUCCCACGGCUCCCACUGCCCCCGAGGUGCCCAAGGGGCUGCCACGGUGUCCUCCAAGGAGGAGCCCCAGACUGGGCGUGAGAGGACACUGGUGUUAGCCAGGGGCUGGAUGGCACGGCAAACCUCCCUCUUCAGGAAGGAAGCCUGCCGCGGGCACUGUCCACCCCGGGCCCCCGCUGCCUCAGGGCAGGGGUGCCAGCCCCAGGGUGGCCACGUGGGCACUGGGCCUCACUGGCCCCAAGCGCGACCUAAGGGUCUUAGGAGUGAGCGUCCCCGGGUGCUGCUGGGAUCUGCAGCCUGCACUCGACCUCCGGUUUUGUCUGCACCGUGGGUGGGUGGGUGGGUGGGUACGUUUGGGAGGCUGAGGGAGAGCCAGUGCCCCCCCGAGAUCCUGGGGGAGCCGGGGACCCAGGCUGGAGGCAGCCGAGUGGCACGAGUGUGUGCAUGUGUCGGGGGGGGGAUUCUUUCAGCAGCCCCUCGUGGACUUGCAAGCAGGAAGGAAGGAACCAGCCGGUUGCCCACUCCUGUCCCCUGCAGCUGCACAGGGGCCUCGGCACGUGCACGGACGUGUCCCCAGGCCGGCCCUGCACCUCAGGUCACAGACUCCACGGACACUGUCGGCCACUCACUCAGACUUUAUUCAAAGACCAGGGGUGGGCUGCGGGGAUGGGGGGUGCAGGGGGCAGAAGGCAGGGGAACUCCCCGGUCCAGCUUACCCAUAUCUGCAGGUAAUGUGGGGUCAGUUCUCUAA
rnacentral:lncRNA from 1 species